AAACUCUGCACCAUCGUAUAAGAAAUCUCAAAACAGUACAGUAAAAAUUUGCAAGGUAAUGACGGACAGCGCCAUCUUGAUAUAAUUUAGUUAUUUGAUCGGGAACACAAAUCUUUUAUUAUUUUAUUUAACCACAAAAU